CCUACGGGAGGCAGCAGUGAGGAAUAUUGGUCAAUGGGCGAGAGCCUGAACCAGCCAAGUCGCGUGAAGGAUGAAGGAUCUAUGGUUUGUAAACUUCUUUUAUAUGGGAAUAAAGUGAGGAACGUGUUCCUUUUUGUAUGUACCAUAUGAAUAAGCAUCGGCUAACUCCGUGCCAGCAGCCGCGGUAAUACGGAGGAUGCGAGCGUUAUCCGGAUUUAUUGGUGUUAAAGGGUGCGUAGGUGGUUGAUUAAGUCAGCUGGGAAAGUGUGUGGCUCAACCAUAAAAUUGCCGUUGAAACUGGUUGACUUGAGUAUAGUAGAGGUAGGCGGAAUGCGUGGUGUAGCGGGGAAAUGCAUAGAUAUCACGCAGAACGCCGAUUGCGAAGGCAGCUUACUAACCUAUAACGGACACUGAAGCACGAAAGCGUGGGGAUCAAACAGGAUUAGAUACCCUGGUAGGC
rnacentral:rRNA from 1 species